GACGAACGCUGGCGGCGUGCCUAAUACAUGCCAGUAGAACGCUGAAGGAGGAGCUUGCUCUUCUGGAUGAGUUGCGAACGGGUGAGUAACGCGUAGGUAACCUGCCUGGUAGCGGGGGAUAACUAUUGGAAACGAUAGCUAAUACCGCAUAUCAGUAGAUGUUGCAUGACAUUUACUUAAAAGGUGCAAUUGCAUCACUACCAGAUGGAGCUGCGUUGUAUUAGCUAGUUGGUGGGGUAACGGCUCACCAAGGCGACGAUACAUAGCCGACCUGAGAGGGGGAUAGGCCACACUGGGACUGAGACACGGCCCAGACUCCUAAGGGAGGCAGCAGGAGGGAAUCGUCGGCAAUGGACGGAAGGCUGACCGAGCAACGCCGGGUGAGUGAAGAAGGUUUUCGGAUCGUAAAGCUCUGUUGUAAGAGAAGAACGAGUGUGAGAGUGGAAAGUUCACACUGUGACGGUACCUUGCCAGAAAGGGACGGCUAACUACGUG
rnacentral:rRNA from 1 species